UGCCCAGCAACUCCUAUCCCUACCUCCACGCGGUACCGGUCGGAAAGUAUGAGCAACCUUAGGGAAGAUCGGGUAAUCAACCCCGGUGGGAGCUUUGGUCGUAGGGUGACAGAGAAGG
rfam:Aedes albopictus isolate Foshan contig82994, whole genome shotgun sequence.